CCUACGGGAGGCAGCAGUGAGGAAUAUUGGUCAAUGGACGAGAGUCUGAACCAGCCAAGUAGCGUGAAGGAUGACUGCCCUAUGGGUUGUAAACUUCUUUUAUAUGGGAAUAAAAUGUUCCACGUGUGGGAUUUUGUAUGUACCAUAUGAAUAAGGAUCGGCUAACUCCGUGCCAGCAGCCGCGGUAAUACGGAGGAUCCGAGCGUUAUCCGGAUUUAUUGGGUUUAAAGGGGGCGUAGGUGGAUUGUUAAGUCAGUUGUGAAAGUUUGCGGCUCAACCGUAAAAUUGCAGUUGAAACUGGCAGUCUUGAGUACAGUAGAGGUGGGCGGAAUUCGUGGUGUAGCGGUGAAAUGCUUAGAUAUCAUGAAGAACUCCGAUUGCGAAGGCAGUUCACUGGACUGCAACUGACACUGAGGCUCGAAAGUGUGGGUAUCAAACAGGAUUAGAUACCCGGGUAGUC
rnacentral:rRNA from 1 species